rnacentral:rRNA from 1 species
ACAACAGGCAUUGCCUUAGUAGCGGCGAGUGAAGCGGCAAUAGCUCAAAUUUGAAAUCUGGCGCCUUCGGUGUCCGAGUUGUAAUUUGAAGAAGGUAUCUUUGGUUUUGGCUCUUGUCUAUGUUUCUUGGAACAGGACGUCAUAGAGGGUGAGAAUCCCGUCUGAUGAGAUGCCCAAUUCCAUGUAAAGUUCCUUCGACGAGUCGAGUUGUUUGGGAAUGCAGCUCUAAGUGGGUGGUAAAUUCCAUCUAAAGCUAAAUAUUGGCGAGAGACCGAUAGCGAACAAGUACUGUGAAGGAAAGAUGAAAAGAACUUUGAAAAGAGAGUGAAAAAGUACGUGAAAUUGUUGAAAGGGAAGGGUUUAAGGUCAGACUUGGUUUACCAGGCCAGCAUCGGUUUAGAUGGCAGGAUAAUGGCGUAGGAAUGUGGCUUUGCUUCGGUAAAGUGUUAUAGCCUGCGUUGAUACUGCCUAUUUAGACCGAGGACUGCGUCUUUGACAAGGAUGCUGGCAUAAUGGCCUUAAGCCACCCGUCUGAAAACACCGGACC